AUUGAACGCUGGCGGCAGGCUUAACACAUGCAAGUCGAACGAGUGGCGGACGGGUGAGUAAUGUCUGGGAAACUGCCUGAUGGAGGGGGAUAACUACUGGAAACGGUAGCUAAUACCGCAUACCAUCAGAUGUGCCCAGAUGGGAUUAGCUAGUAGGUGGGGUAAUGGCUCACCUAGGCGACGAUCCCUAGCUGGUCUGAGAGGAUGACCAGCCACACUGGAACUGAGAAACGGUCCAGACUACUACGGGAGGCAGAAGUGGGGAAUAGUGCACAAUGGGCGCAAGCCUGAUGCAGCCAUGCCGCGUGUAUGAAGAAGGCCUUCGGGUUGUAAAGGACUUUCAGCGAGGAGGCGUUACUCGCAGAAGAAGCACCGGCUAACUCCGUGCCAGCAGCCGCGGUAAUAC
rnacentral:rRNA from 1 species